AGUUGUGCCCUUUGUAUCCUCACAAUCCUGAAGUGUUGCUGAAUGAGUUAAGAUCACCUUCUGAGCUGCUGGAUUUUGGAGAAUUUUCCGAUUGCAUGGAUUUUGGAAGUGGCACUGCUUCCCCACUCCUUCAUGUUGUCAAUCCUACAUUUGAUUAUGUGCCACCAAAGCUUGUCAGUUUAUUUAUCACUGAUACAGGAGGGCAUAAUCCAUCAUACAUGUACCGGCUCAUCGCAGAUUAUUAUUCUGCUGAUGAUUUAGUGGUCCAACGAAGACCUGCUAUAGGAAGUUGAAUUCAGCUCCCGCAUGUUUAUCCUAUUAUUGGGGUAGUACAGAAAGCUAUAAGGGUAAUGGAUGGAUGAAGAGAAAAUCAAAAUAAACAGUAGUUUUAUGGAACCAUGAAGACCGUUAUUGUGCUGGAAGAGUCCUUGGACAAAAAUUGCAGUUUGGGGGAGUAGCAGUACGAAUCCGGGACAGAACCAUCCACAAAGAUUAGAGCCAAUUUUGUGUAUGUGGCCAUUUAGGAAACUUAGAGCUGUAUUCUACGUAAGUGAAUAGAAGGUGAUUUUUGUGAUUGUGGAAAGACAA